rnacentral:lncRNA from 1 species
GCCUCAGCAGGUUCCUCGGCUUGAGUUUGGGCGGCGAACACCCGCCCGCUCGGAGCCACUCUCGUUGCCUCAGGUUGGCGUGGUACUAUCGCACGUCCAGCCGAUGACGCAGCAGGUGGGACUCCUCCAUAAUGCGCCGGAGUCGCCGGAGCCGACGCGACCGAAGGGGCGGGCGAAGCUCUCACUGGACAGUAGCGGCUGAUAUGGCCCACCUGUCCACACGUGAAGCACUUCCCUUCCUGUUGAUCACACGUCCUUGGCUCGUGGUUCCCACCGCAGAUUGUGCACCGCUGCGGUCCGCGGCCCUUGGAUUGCGUUCGCGGGUACUUCGGGGGCUUCCUUGACUUGGUUUGAGCUCCCGAGCUACUCUGAGCCCGCUUCUUACCACCGUCCUUCUCGGACGCUUCUCGCUC